rnacentral:rRNA from 1 species
CAGUAGCCACGGGAAUACGUAGGUGGCAAGCGUUGUCCGGAAUUAUUGGGCGUAAAGGGCUCGCAGGCGGUUUCUUAAGUCUGAUGUGAAAGCCCCCGGCUCAACCGGGGAGGGUCAUUGGAAACUGGGAAACUUGAGUGCAGAAGAGGAGAGUGGAAUUCCACGUGUAGCGGUGAAAUGCGUAGAGAUGUGGAGGAACACCGGUGGCGAAGGCGACUCUCUGGUCUGUAACUGACGCUGAGGCACGAAAGCGUGGGGAGCAAACAGGGUUAGAGACCCCAGUAGUCCCUGUCUCUUAUAA